AAGAAACUUUGCCCAGCCAGCAGCUUUAAGUCAAAUCAUCUUCUGUGAAGAGGAAGAUCAGAAAUGUAGAAUGGACUCAGUCGAUAUGUCAUUUAAGAAGGAUCUCGACCAAAUUGGACCUCAUCUGCACUAUCAUGGUGUGAAACCUCAUCUGACCUCAGCAUUCAAAUUUAGCAUUUCAAGACUUCCAAAGUGGGCACAAAAGAAAGUAACAGACUCCGAAAUUGUCCCUGGGAAUCUUGAUUUCAGUUUGUCCCAGG
rnacentral:lncRNA from 1 species